GCUGGCCCGGAGUCGGGCUCCCCAGUUUCUGGUACCGAAGCGCAGACGGUUUCCUUGUCGGAGCCACGCACCGUUAAUGUAAGGCCAAUAGAAUAUCUCUCUAUGCCUGUCUCACCAGUGUAUUUUGGAACCACAUAACUUGUCUGAUGUCGCAGGCUCACAGCUGGCAAGGAAUUUUGCCUUCGAGUGAAUCAUAUCUCAAGUCUCAACCAUACCUGAUGAUAUUCAGGGACUGCCCUGGUGACGCAGUGGUUAAGAACCUGCCUGCCAAUGCAGGGGGCACGGGUUCGAGCCCUGGUCCGGGAAGAUCCCACAUGCCGAGGAGCAACGAAGCCUGUGAGCCACAACUACUGA